rnacentral:rRNA from 1 species
AGCAGCCGCGGUAAUUCCAGCUCCAAUAGCGUAUAUUAAAGUUGUUGCAGUUAAAAAGCUCGUAGUUGAAUUUCGGGGUCAGUAGGUCGGUCGUGCCACUGGUAUGCACUGGUCUCACUGAUUCCUCCUUCUUGAAGAACCGUAAUGUCAUUAACUUGGUGUUGCGGGGAAACAGGACUGUUACCUUGAAAAAUUAGAGUGUUUAAAGCAGGCCAGCGCCUGAAUACAUUAGCAUGGAAUAAUGAAAUAGGACGUUCGAUCCUAUUUUGUUGGUUUCUAGGAUUGACGUAAUGAUUAAUAGGGAUAGUUGGGGGCAUUAGUAUUCAAUUGUCAGAGGUGAAAUUCUUGGAUUUAUUGAAGACUAACUACUGCGAAAGCAUUUGCCAAGGAUGUUUUCAUUAAUCAAGAACGAAAGUUAGGGGAUCGAAGACGAUCAGAUACCGUCGUAGUCUUAACCAUAAACUAUGCCGA